rnacentral:snRNA from 1 species
GGAAGUGAGGGCGACCUGGCUGCGACAUCAGUCACCCCAUUGACUGCCAGGGUUGAUUCGGCUGAGCUGGCUGCCUAGGCGGGUGUCCCCUUCCUCCCUCACCGCUCCUUGUGCAUCCCUCCCGAAGCUGCGUACUCGGUCAAAGAGGACAAGCUUCCCCAAAUAGAGGAGGACCCGUCUUUGGUCAAGGGUAUGUGAGUAGCUGCACCCCCCUGCUAGAACCCCUAAACAAGCUCUCAAAGGAGGCCGAUGGUGUUCCUAAGGAUGGCACCCAAGGUUGU